UAUCAUUACUUCCAAAAAGAUACCAUCAAGACAAACAUCUCUCAUGAUAACAGUCAUAACAGUGAUUUAAUAAUAUUGCUUUAAAUUCUUCGUGAAAGACGUCGAGUUUGGAGACUUAUGCGGACUUGUGUUGGUUUUUAAACGAAUAAUACCAAGAAAUAUGUCAAAAUCGUUUCAAGUCACAUCGAUUGACGAUGUUUCCAAAAAAAUAGAAGUGGGUACUUGUCAUAUUUUCCACGAGCAAAGAUUAUAAUGUUAUACCAAUUAAUUGGCUUGUUAAGACAGAAGUUGAGAAUUUAUAUAACAGUAGGUACUAUAAAGAAUUAUUACUGGCCACCCUUCAAAGUUACUAGUAUCCAUUUAAAAGAGGCCAUAGAUCCAGUUCCAUCUUGGCAACAUCAUCAGAUCAAAGUCGUUGGCAAUAACAAGAUUUAUGGUGAGCGAAAUAAAACAAUCUGAGGUGCGUUGCCUAAA